rnacentral:rRNA from 1 species
UACGUAGGGGGCUAGCGUUGUCCGGAAUCAUUGGGCGUAAAGAGCGCGUAGGCGGCCCGGUAAGUCCGCUGUAAAAGUCCAGGGCUCAACCCUGGAAAGCCGGUGGAUACUGUCGGGCUCGAGUCCGGAAGAGGCGAGUGGAAUUCCUGGUGUAGCGGUGAAAUGCGCAGAUAUCAGGAAGAACACCUAUGGCGAAGGCAGCUCUCUGGGACGGUACUGACGCUGAGACGCGAAAGCGUGGGGAGCGAACAGG